AUGCGAGCUGAGUACGAUGCUCUCGUCGCCAACCGAACCUGGACCCUUGUUCCUCGUCCUCCUGGAGCCAACAUCAUCUCGGGCAAGUGGGUUUUUCGUCACAAACUCCAUCCGGAUGGCUCACUGGAUCGGUACAAGGCUCGCUGGGUUGUCCGAGGUUUUGCACAACGUGCUGGCGUUGACUUCUCUGAGACUUUUUCUCCGGUCGUCAAACCCGCAACGAUUCGUGUGGUGCUUCAGCUGGCUGCUUCUCGUCACUGGCCCGUCCAUCAGCUCGACAUCAACAAUGCUUUUCUGUAUGGCCAUCUUCAGGAGCGAGUCCUCUGUCAGCAGCCGACUGGGUUCGUUGACCCUCAGCGGCCGGAUGAUGUUUGUCUGUUGUCCCGGUCCUUAUAUGGCCUCAAACAGGCUCCGCGCGCUUGGUAUCAGCGCAUC
rnacentral:rRNA from 1 species